AACGCUGGCGGUAGGCCUAACACAUGCAAGUCGAACGGCAGCACAGUAAGAGCUUGCUCUUACGGGUGGCGAGUGGCGGACGGGUGAGGAAUACAUCGGAAUCUACUUUUUCGUGGGGGAUAACGUAGGGAAACUUACGCUAAUACCGCAUACGACCUACGGGUGAAAGCAGGGGAUCUUCGGACCUUGCGCGAUUGAAUGAGCCGAUGUCGGAUUAGCUAGUUGGCGGGGUAAAGGCCCACCAAGGCGACGAUCCGUAGCUGGUCUGAGAGGAUGAUCAGCCACACUGGAACUGAGACACGGUCCAGACUCCUACGGGAGGCAGCAGUGGGGAAUAUUGGACAAUGGGCGCAAGCCUGAUCCAGCCAUACCGCGUGGGUGAAGAAGGCCUUCGGGUUGUAAAGCCCUUUUGUUGGGAAAGAAAAGCAGCAGGUUAAUACCCCGCUGUUCUGACGGUACCCAAAGAAUAAGCACCGGCUAACUUCGU
rnacentral:rRNA from 1 species